GUUAUUUUGGCAGAUUAGUGCAAUAGAUUUAGGAUCUUUAAAUGUAAUUGUAUUACAGAUAAUA
rnacentral:tRNA from 1 species